GACAAAUAACUGUAUCGUGUUCCGUAAUGCCAUUCAAAGCUGGAUCGACAAUGGCAAACUAAAGUUCCCAGAGAAGACACAAUUGUUGGUUGAUGCUGAUCUUUUUCCUUCGGCAACGGUGAACAUGGUAAAUGCCCAUCUACCGAAGGAUAAGAAAAAAGGAAAAGCUAAGUAUAUCCCAACAUACCACGUCCUAAGACAAAAUCCCCAGCCGCGUUUAAGGAAUAAUUUAUCAUCCCAAAACGACCCGCCUAGUUUUUUCUCGAAUCCAGCCUAUGUUGAGCUAGUAUUUGACUCAUGUUCAGAUAAGUCUAAAAGCCCAAUGAUCUUGUGCAGUAAAUGUCGAUCGAAAGUCAUCACAGCUAAGCCAAAACCAUAAAAAACUUCGAUCGAAUCACCACAACCCGCACCAACGAUUUUGGCAUAAUCUCAACCAAUGAUUGGCUAGGGUUAACAUCAGCAAAUGGUUUUUGACAAACUUGACCCUCAACCGCAAAAUUACAAACCACCUUCAGUUAAAUGACGACUUAAUUUCAACGAGCCGUUUUAUGAUAAGGACUAUUAUGUACAUAACUUUAGAAGUUCAAGUACAUCCACGACCUAGUGUACCUUCAAACCACCUUAGCUACGCGACCACAGUUAGUAUUGUUACAACUGCUUUACCAGUGCAUAUACCAUUCUGUCUAAAUCCCAAAAACAUUGUCGACAAAUGAUGGAUUGCAUGGCCUGUCGGUAAGCGACUCAAGAAGUUUCGAUCACAAAAUGACAACCUAAAGAAAUUGCAAAGAAAGAGGAUGAUUGACAAAAUGACCGAGUUGUUUCAAGGGAAGAAAGUAAUUGAUCGCAAUUUUGAAACCGAGAUUGAAGAAUCUGAGAAAUGAAUCAAACUUCUCCUUCUGCCUGGAGAAAUGAAAGCUUGUAUCGAGCAUUUCAGGAAGAAGGCCAAGUGCAAACUUCCUCCAUUAUUACCACAAGAGCCAUUGAUUAAAGUCCCUAAGGAAUCGCCAUCCGCCACUUUUUGGUGAGGCUCUAAAAUAUACGCCAAAAUUUCACAAGAAAAAUUAAAUAAACGACCUAUACAGCCUCCCAAAAGCAUGUCAGGAGUCUCUCAAUUUAGUUUUGAUCAGCUCUGAUGCCGAACAAAUUAUCCAGAAAUUGUCAAAUUUAGGGAUGAAAGCUAGAUUCCAACAUAUUUGCGAAGUUAGUGUUCUCGGCUUCGACGUUGACCCAUACACCUAUUUAGACCAUGUAUACCUUUCAUUCUCUCUAGAUGGUUUGCAAUACUUGCAACAUCAUUUUGAGGUUUUCUCGAUCGUAUCCUUACUUGGCCUCACGGCCAAAGAGAUAGAGCGAGUUAAAAGGUUGGAUGCUUAUCUAGACACAUGAGAUGCUCACAUCGCAUAUUAGGAGCGGGUUGCAGGGCUUUGCAAACACAAAACCAAGUUCCAGUGAUAGGGGAACCAGUUGCUGAAGCUGAAGAUAAAACAGCCACGCCAAGUACAACAGGUGCACAUAUUUUGCCUAUGGUUAAUGACGACGUAGUUAGUGUGACCAAAGAUCAAGAUAUUCUGCCAAACAAUCCAAAAGAUCACGACCCAGUGAGGCCCUCGAUCCUUGACAACAUGAAAAUUAGCAUGGUCCAUAUCCUAUCUACAUAAUUCCAACCAACUAUGUCUCAACCAAGCUUUUUAGAUGGUGAUGUAGUUGCCGAAGAGACCACACAAGUCAACUUUGUGGCUAUCGAAGAAGCCGAACCAAUUAGUAAGGAGGACAAACUCCAAGUAGCCUUAGCUAAGUUAUUUCCUCGUUUUUCAGUCGUCAACCUUCAUCACCUGAAGCUGUUAUACGUCACGGCUCAUAUUGAAGGAUAUCCGAUAUCCAAAGUCUUCGUUAGUUGUAGGGCAACAGUCAACAUCAUGCCUGUUUCUAUAAUGAAAACUCUGUGACGCUCUAAAGAUGAACUCAUUCCAUCCAGCAUGACCAUGAGCAGCUUUGUUGGCGAUAAAUCUUAGACUAAAGGAGUCCUACCUUUGGAAGUAAAUAUUGUAGGUCAAACUCAUAUGACCACGUUUUUUAUAAUUGAUUAAAAAAUCGAGUACAAUGCAUUGUUCAGUCGUGACUGGAUCCAUCAGACUGGCUGUAUUCCUUCGUCACUAUACUAGGUCCUUAUUUUAUGGGACAUCAAAUUAGCUGUAGUUUAUCCGGCCGAUAACCAGCCGUUUGAAGCUAACAUGAUUCAAGCCCGUUAUUAUGACUAGGGGUGGUUCGGUAUGGGAUCCCAAACCGAAAUUUUCAGGAAUCCCAAUUUGGAAAACCCAAAACGUAAUCCUCCCCAUCUCUUCAGGUGAUUCUCUCUCUCUCUCUCUGCUCUUCUUUCUCCCCAUUAUUUAUGCUUUAUUCUGACUGUCAUUUCCAGAAUUAUUUUUUUUGUAAUUUAAUUGUUGGAAUUUAGGCAUAAUUAAGUGCAUGGCAACUGUAAGUUGUUGAGUUGUGUAAAAUCCAUGUUUUGAUUGUUGGGUUUUGUUGAUAUAGAUGUUUUCUCGUGUGGGUUACUCUUGGAUUUUGUUUCUGUCACUGUCUCUUGAUUUUUGAUUGUUGUCUUUUGUACACAUAUAUACAGAUACACACAACACGCUUCUAGUGUAUGUUUUUUCACUCUCAAUUUCUUCACUUAGUUACUCAAGGCUCACCGUACUUACUCGCAGCGGCCGGUUGAUCGAAGAAAAUAUUUCUUGGGCUUCUUUUUAAUUUCCCCAUUUUACCUCUGCUGGCUGUCUAUUUUUCUGAUUUUCUGAAUUUCUGAAUUUCACUUGUAUUGAAAUUUCUUCAUGAUCUUGUUUUGAAUACCGAUGUUUUGAUGCCAUUUUCAAAUUGCAAAGAAAUCAUGAUUCCCAGAAGUGUUGGGUCAGCUUUUGGUGUCAUUGUGUUUGGUUUUUGUUGUUCAUGUACAAAAGAAAUUUCGCCAUCAAUUUUUCACUUUUUCAAGGUGGUAUAAAUUUUUACAUAUUUUCUCCUUUUUUCUCAUGACUUGGUUAAGCUUCCAUUCUUGACAGAUAAGCUUGUGGAUUUUGAUAAUAUUAGUACAGUCAGGAUCAUUUUUUUUCCAUGUGGAAAGUAAGACUCAUGACUCAUGACGGUUACGGAUGCUUUAUAUAUGUCUUCAUUUUGGUUCUCCGUUAUGGUUCAGGAUUGGCUUCACUGGCCUUUCCUUACUACUUGAUCCGUUUUACAUCACAUUGUUUCGUUUCUUUUAAAAAAUUCUUUUGUUUCAGUUCUUACUUGCUAAUACUAAUCACUUAGACACCACCCAAAUAUCCAAAAAGUUAAAUAAUAUUUUUGCAAAUGAAUUUUCUAAUGUGAAGUAUUAGGUUAUUAGUAUCUGUUUAUUAGGAUUUUAUAUAAGUACCUUUUCCAUAUCUCACAAAGAUUAUGUAUGUGCAGGCUUGAAUUUCAGAAGGUGCUGAGCUUUGAGUGUAAUGCAUUCUAUAAAGGGUAGUUGGGUUGGGCAGACAUUCGCCCUAGCUAAAAAUAAUGAAUCUGAAGGAAGGAGGUCCAGAAUUCGGCGUUCAAAGGAAGAGAGGAAGGCAAUGGUUGAAUCCUUUAUAAAAAAAGUAAUAACAUCAUUGUUUUCAUUGUUUAUAUUUUCUACUAUUGUAACUUAUGAAAAGAAGAAAAGAGAAAUCACUAAUCUUCUAAACAAUGUAGUUCUGAUGAAAUCUACUAGGAUUACGGGCACUAAUCUUCUCCUUACUCUUUACUCAGGAUAAUUGAAUAGAAAUGUAGGAUACUUUGUACAUUUGUAUAUUUUUAAGGUAUGGGCCGAUUUUUAGUUCCCUGUUUCUAGCUUCUGGAUAAGCUCUGUCAAAAUCUUAAUUAAGCUAUGAUUGUACUUAUUUAUACGAUGAUCAAGAAUCAUGUAACUAUUGUGAGUACAUAAAUGGAUAUACAAAAUAUGUAUAACCGUUUAUAUCCACUUAUAGAUUUUGACUAAAUUUGAAGAUUAAUGCAUUCUUGGAUUCGUUGCCAGCCAAAUUGAUUGACAUAUGAUUCUGAGAUUUUUUUUUACUCACCUGAGAAUACUAGAAAAUUUAUUCUGUGGAAGCACUCUUUUAAGAACAUUUUACUUUUAUUUUCUAUAUGUUUAGUUCACCUAAAUGGAGAAACUUAUAGUAAAGGAUCUUCCUGUUUUGUAAGAAUAAAACAGAUACUUGUGUCAAACUUGUGAUAAUGUUUAGUUGGACCAACUUUUGAUAGGCAUAUAUGCAGGAGUACUCUUUCCUGUUAGAAGUUGAUGGGAGCAUUCGGAUAUGGUAGUGAUAUUGUGUGUUUUCUUGCAAUUGACUUCCACAUCCGUCUUACUUUACUGAAUUUCUAGUUUCCAUUUGUGAAAUUCUUAAAAGCAUGCAAGUUCAGCCUUUUUAAUAAUCUUGCUUACAGGUAUCAGAAAAUAAACAAUGGGAGUUUUCCAUCACUUAAUCUGACCCACAAAGAAGUUGGUGGGUCUUUCUACACUGUACGAGAAAUUGUUCGAGAUAUAAUUCAGGAAAAUAGAGUGCUUGGUCCUGCUAAGUUUACUGUAGAGGGCAGCAGCAGACCAUUGAUCAGUUUUGGGAACACAAUCCAUUGGGUACCAUUGCUGCAGAACCACAAAAUACUUUGUCAAUAUCAUCAAAUGAAUUGCUGUUCGUCACCAAUCAAAAUCAGGGUGUAAUUGAACAACUUGUUUUCGCUUCCGAUGGGCAUUUAGUUGCACCUGAACAUCAGAUGUUUGAGAAUGGACGAAUCAUCAAUGGUACUCAAGUAGAAGUGAAUGACAAAGAAUUUAAUGAACCCAAAAGUACAGAGUUACAAGCAAAUGGACCUGUGGAAAUAGAGAAGCAUGUUGCUGUUGAAUCUAUAGAUUCUAAUGGGCAUUGUAUUGGUCCUGAAUAUCAGAGUUUUGACAAUGGACUAAUCAAUGGUAGCCAGAUAGAUAGGAAAGAUAAAGAAAGGGAGGAACGAAUGUGCACAGAACUGCAAACAGUUGAACCUUCGGAAGCAGAGAAGAAUGCUGAAGACGUUCGGGCAACAUCCAAGUCUAAUGUGAAUCCUUUAACAGCAGAUGUGAUAGUGGAGACAUUCCCAUUGAAGCCAGUAAAUGCGACACCUGAGGGCUUGGAUGGAAGGUUACAAGAAGUAACGGAUUUGACUAAGUCUUCCAAGGACAAGGGAACUAGAGGGAUGGAGUUAGCUGGUGUUGAUAGUUUGCAAGUGGAUAGAUUAUAUAUUCCAUGAAGAGCAUGGAUGAUAAUGUAGCGAUGAAUCUUUCAAGUCCAUUGGUUGAAAAACAAAUCCAGCCCAGUGGAUGAAGCACUAGGAAAUGCCAUAGAUCCAUCAGUUGAAAGCUCAAGUUACUCAACCUUUAAUGAAGGUAUUGUGCAUGAAACAGGAAGCACAGACCUUAAUGUCAAAUCACCUCAUAAAGAUGUUCCAACCUCUGAGAUCUCUAACCAAAACCAGCUGACCGCGGGAACUAAGGUAGUACCAAAUUGGAACGUCGUGUGUAGAUUUUUUCACCAUUUUUCUCCUAAUUACCCAUCAUAUUUUUAAAACUGAAGUGUCAAUAUUGCCAUGUAUUUACAUUUUCACAAUUCAUGAUUAAAAUGUGUGCUCAGUUUUCAUAUUGUGAUAUUAUCUUUUUCAAGUAUGGGUGUUAUUAUUGUUGGUUGGAAAUGCUUUAACAUUGUCUCGUAGAUUGAUAGUGAUGGUAAAGAUUUGAUUACCCAUACCAUUGAGUGAAAACGCUUUUUUCCUUAACAAUGUUGGGAAGAAUGCUAUACCUAUUAUUGUUCAAAACAUGUCAGUGGAAAUUUCAGAUUUAUUGACCAAUAAACUUCAACUGUUGGUGCAUAUUUACAGGCUGACAAAGCUCCAGAUAGCUUACAUACAAAGAUUACCAACGGUACCAGUGGUAGUAGUGAGCAAUCGAAAACCAAAGAGGUGGUUGUGAUUGAAGAUGAAGUUGAUGUCCAGACCAGCGGUAGCUUGAAGAAGGGAAGCAAACCAACUUUGGACAGAAUUAACCUGUAAGGAUAUGUUGUAACAGUUCAGUGUUUUCUUUUUACUUGUGAAAAUGCAAAUACAUGGCAGUAUUGACACACUUCAGGAUCAUUAAUUUUUCUCGUCAAUUAUUUCUUUGGGCAGUGAAUCAUGGGAAGGUGCAUCUAAAAAGACCAGACCAGAAGGUAACCCACUUUGGGAUGUAUUUAAAGCGUUUUUAGACGCCCUUGUGAAAUUCUGGUCCGAAUGAACUUAAGGUAUAGUCUCAAACCUUGCUAUUGCUGAGUGAGCAAAGAGUAGUGUACCUGUCAGAUCAUUUGUGAUUUCACUUGGGUGAUCCUUAUUUAAUUGUGUGGUCUUUCACUAGAUUAUCCCUUUCUCUUUGCCCAUACUUGACAUGGCUCAUACGUUACUUCAUCUUUUCGUCGAUGAUCUAGAUUACUGGUUAUCAUCUCUAGUCAUCAACUUUACUGUUUGCGAAAUUUUCAAACUUUUCUGUGGCAUCCAUGUUUUAGAGUGACAUUGCUGAAUUAAGAUGGGUUGUGCGAUCAUUGCUCGUAGACGUCAAUGUAAAAGUAGUUCAGGUCACUUUCACAGUUGGUGCCUUGUUUGACAAAUGAUAGGAAAAUGACUUGUUAUUUUCGAAGAUAUCGUUGUAGUCGUGAAAUAGCGGGAUGGUCUUUCUCACAUUUGCACUCUAGUAAUAGUUAUGAGUUAUUAUUGUGACAUUUGAGGGAUUCACAUUCUCUUGUAAAUACUUGUGAUCCGAUUCUCCAUCCAUCCAGAGUCAGAUGUUUCCAAGUACCAUUUUUGGCGAGUUUACAGUUGGCUACAUUUCAGUUUAACGACGAAAUUUACGGCCAUUUCGACAUCUCUUAGAGUGGUGACUGUUUCCCAAAUCAACUACAAGUACGGCCGCGAAAUGGUACUGGCUUUCAAAACCCAAACAAACUCCUUUUCAAGUGUGUGGGUGAAGUGGAUCAACAAAACCGUUGGUGUUCAGUAGACAGAGCCUCGAGCGUUGAAACAAUAGAAAGCAAAGAAAGUUGAUUGUCAUCGAACCUUUCACAAGAGUGACCAACUCUGAACUAGCUCUCAAUAUCAACACCAAAAGCACCCUUACCAAGACUAGAACCAUGUCAACAAGCGGGAAUGUUUUUUUUUGAGAAGAAACAAAUACAAGCGGGAAUUUACUUACAAUGAACAUGUGAAUGAACAUAGAAUAUUAGCUCAUGAAAUUUUCUAGGUAACCGUCUACUCUUUCUGUCUAGAGGACAGAGCCCCGAGAGCUAACCUAAAGGUCUAAGUGGAGGCAUUUCUCUGCUAGUCCUACUCGUUCUUUUCGCUUGUUUUUCUGGCCUCACUUGACCGGGCUGUAUUUCUUGACUUGAGUGACCUCUCGGGUUACAACUGGACUGUGAGGGCUGCUUAUAGCUCCAAACCAAAGAGGAAUCCUUUGGCUUGCAAACCAAUGCUUUGAUUGAACCGGUUUCAGUUCCUCUGGUUCUUAGUAUUUUCAAAUUGGAACCGGAACUGUUUGAGACAGUCCGGUUCAGUUUUUGUCCUGGUUUUGACUUUUCUUAUCAACGCGGCUUUUACAAUAUUUUUUUUUACCACAAUUUUCUGGUUCGGUGGUUUUUAUGCCCACCUCUAGGUGUCCGUGUGUCACUACGAUUAAGACGAUGCGUGCAUAUGGUAACAAAAUUUCGACAUGUGGAUCUGCUUUAGUCACUCUAUAAAUCAUUUGGAUAAGGGUGAUGGUAGAGACUCUAUCUACUUAAAUCAUAUUUUGUAGACCGUAUGAUUUGACGUUGAUGAUUGGAAUACUUGUUUAAAUUAUUGAAUAACGUAUCCAACCAUCAACUGUUACAUCAUGUGGUUUACCGAACUUGGUCUAAAUCAUUAAAGAAGGUAUCCAACCAUCAAAUGCUAAAGGGACUCUCUUAAAAUGAGACUUUCUUCCAUGUCAUAGUUUAACAUUAAUCCCCGUGUCAACAUUAUGAAAUGUUGUGACAAAAACAUGAGGUGUCAGAGAAUUCAUAAAGCAUUUAAUUAUAAGAGAGUAUCUUUAGCAUUUCUCAUUUUCAUUUUAAUAGUAGUUGACUUCUUUGUUUUCGCUUUAUUUAUUUAUUUGUAUUACUUAUUUAGUUUUUGCUUGGAUGACAAUCAUCUAUAAAUCGUCCUCGAAAUAACAGCUCCUUUUUUUUUAUGUUACAAAAUAACAAGCAAUGAGCACAUGGAUACAUCACUCAUGCAUGCAUAUAUACAAUUAUGUGUGCCUCUAUAGUUUUAAAGGAAAACUAAUGAAAAAUGAUUGAAAACUUUGAAUUUUAAAGAUAAGGACAAAAUAAAGGGUAAAGUGAAUAGUACCAGAAUUGACUUUUUAUUGUAAAUAUGUGGUUUUUCGUUAAAGUGAACAAUAUUGGGGGCUUUUCGUUAAAGUUCCCUAGUUUUAAUUAACUUACGAUUAAUAACUCACCCCAUUAACGCGAGAAAUGCAUAUCACCUGAUCACUUUCGUAUUCCAGCUAAAGUACACAAUAAAUAGAGUUCGUUUGGAUAUGUUUUUAAAAUGACUGAAAGCAUUUUUUGUGAAAAUGUUUUUGGAACCAAUCCUUAGUAAAAAUGCAAGUAAAUUCUGGAAAAGUACUUAAAGUGUUUCCUGGAAGAAGCACAUAACUGGUGCUUCUUGCAUAAAGCACUUUAAGUGCUUUUGGAACCAAAAAACAUUUUCUCUAAAAGCACUUUUAGUUAUUUUAAAAGCACAUUCAAACAAGCCCUAGUCUCUCCUCUUGCCCUUUGGUCAUUGACUUAGUUCUCCUUAACAAAGUUGAUUAAUUUUAUUUAUUUUUAUUUUUUUCAAAAGGGGGACAACUGGUGGCAAGUCACGGUUAUUCAUCCCUUUCGGAGACCGGAAAGACUCACAGAAGCAUUUUAGCCUCUCCUUGGUCACAAUUAAGCAGACUCACCAACUUAGAGCCUCGAAUCCAUUAAAAAAACAAAAAAGAAUUAGAUAGAAGAAAGAACCUUGCUAUAGAAUGCUAUAGAGCUUUCUUCUUAUAACAAAGAUGCAUGUGGUUGAAUAUGGUAUUUGGUUUCUACCCAUGUGUCCCGCAUUCAAAAUUCUCUUAUCUUCUAAAUUAUUGUAAUAGUUUCAAACUUUUUAUUUUCUCUAUAAUAAUAAUAAAUUUAAUAUAUAUAUAUAUAUAUAUAUAUAUAUAUUAUUCUUGACAUCAGGAAUAAAGUGGUGGUUAAGGAGGUAAGAUUCGGAAUGUUAUUGUGUAGUUUAAUUACGUCUCGAUAAAACUUUGCAUAGGAUAAAAUCAUGAUUAACUCUCUUACCUAGGUCUCGGAGUCUCUACACUAGUUGUCGACAUUACAUGCAUUUUUUUUAAAAAAUUUCUUCAAUAAUACAUAGCAUAGUGAUAUAGAAAAUGAAAGACCAAGAUUGAAAUAAAAGAUCUAACAGUUGUGGAAACCAAAUCUAAUACCUAAUAGCACUUACAAAUGCUACAUAGCAAAUUGAAGCCAGACUCAUACUUUGAGCUGAACUUCAAUAGAACCAUAUAACUUUUGCCUUGAGAACAAUACACUACGCCAGACUUAAAUGCAUACAUACAAUUUCAUUAUGGUUAUUGUUGUUGUUAUAUUGUCUAAAACCAUGGUUCAUGAGAUCUGAGCUUGAAAUAUUCUAAAUCUAAACACUGAAACUCGUUAAACUAAAUAACUGUAGAAAUACAAUCCCAUUAAUAUAUUAUUAUUUGGAAGGUAGCUCUAAAGUCAUUUGAAUCUAAAAUAUAUAGAUACAUGCACCAUAUCACAUAAAUAAUUGAAAUUUAGGAAAAUAUAACGGUAUAUACGUAGUGAAGGGAAUAUUAUUUGCCUGUUAAUGUGUUUAUCAUAUUAAAUUAUUCACUUACUUUCGUAUAUAAGCUAAGCUAAUGAUUGACGGUGAAAACCAAGCAAGGUUGGAUGGGGACACUUCACGUGCAAAGAUUCAACAUCACAAUCACAACGGAUUGGUAUUUGGUAACCUCCUAAUCCACAUGCACUUUAUAUUUUUUAUAUAUAUGUUUUUAAAUUUUAUAUGCGAGAGAGAGAGAGAGAGAGAGAGAGAGAGAGAGAGAGGGAAUGCAUCUCUGAUUCUCUGGUAGCUGGUAGAUGCGUAUUCAAGGCUCUUUGCAUGGAAUCCUAAGCUGCUGCUUCUGUGCUGUACGCAUCGUUUUGAUCGUCUUAUAGGAAUUUCUCUGUUUUAUUAGGCUUAGCAAAUAUAUACAUCUCUACUCUACGCGCACUUGGUGGGACUGAACACAAUCGAAGAGGCCAAAACAUUAUUCUAAACACAUUUCAAUCAAUUAUUAGAUCCAAAAGAAAAGAUAUAUCCAUUAAGGAUAAAGCUAGGCUGCUCAUAUUGGCUAUCAUCUACCGUAAAGGGUUAAGAGAUACCGAGAGUAGACCAGGAUUUUUUUAUUUUAUUUUAUCUUUUUAUGAAAAAAUAACUUUGGUUAAAGAGAGAAAUCUCUAGUACCACCACUACUACAAAAGGGUGUUAUAGUGUCAGUGGAUGAUGUCGCUUUAAUCUAACAUGGUGUCGGAUUAGGCAGUUGCGACACUAACUAAACAUGACGUCGGAUUUACUGUCGCUUAUAAGCGUCAUAAAGUAUUUUUUAAAUACUGGUGUAGCUUUUAAGCAACAUAAAUUAUAUAUAUAUAUAUAUAAUUAUAUAUAUAUAUAUAUUAAAUUAAAUUUUAUAUCCCUAAAAACUAUAAUAAUUAUAUAUAUAUAUUAAAUUAAAUUUUAUAUCCCUAAAAACUAUAAUAAUUAUAUAUAUAUAUUAAAUUAAAUUUUUAAAAAUUGGUGAUCAUUGGAUUGGCUUAAAUAUACAUACGAUUCAAUUUCUUAAGUGUUAUACAUACAAAAUAAAUAAAUUUAAAUCUACUUAAUAUAUAUAUAUAUACACACACCAUUGAACUUGAUCGGAUACGAAUUCUAUGAAACUAAUUUCGACAGUUAUAAACGAAAAAUCACGAUUUAACGGUUAUUUUAACUUCGAUUUUAAUGAUUUUUUACAGCUACGCUCCUUGACCCUAUAUUAAUACAAUGAAUGAAUUCGAUCUUCAAUUUAAAAUAUUUACACGAGUGGAUACCACAAAAUCUUAUGUUAUACUUAAUGAAAGUAUAAAUAAACUUUAAGUGUUAGUCAAUCUAUUGUUUUGAUGGGAUACGAAUUCUCCGAAACUAAUUUCAACGAUCUCAGCCGUCAAACUUGUUUGUAUAUGCUUCGAGAUCACAUCAGCAAAAAAUCACAAAAAACAAACAUUCAGAGAUCAAGUAACGGGACAAAGCUUUUCGAUGGUUAUAAACGAAAAAUCACGAUUUAACGGUUAUUUUAACUCCGAUUUUGAUGAUUUUUUACAGCUACACUCCUUGACCCUAUAUGAAUUCGAUCUUCAAUUUAAAAUAUUUACACAAGUGGAUACCACAAAUCUUAUGUUAUACUUAAUGAAAGUAUAAUAAACUCAAAGUGUUAGUCAAUCUAUUGUUUUGAUGGAAUACGAAUUCUCCGAAACAAAUUUCAACGAUCCCAACCGUCAAACUUGUUUGUAUAUGCUUCGAGAUCACAUCAGCAAAAAAUCACAAAAAAUAAACAUUCAAAGAUCAAGUAACAGGACAAAGCUUUUCAACGGUUAUAAAUGAAAAAUCACGAUUUAACGGUUAUUUUAACUCCGAUUUUGAUGAUUUUUUACAGCUACACUCCUUGACCCUAUACGAAUACAAUGAAUCAAUUCGAUCUUCAAUUUAAAAUAUUUACACAAGUGGAUACCACAAAAUCUUAUGUUAUACUUAAUGAAAGUAGAAAUAAACUUUAAAUGUUAGUCAAUCUAUUGUUUUGAUGGGAUACGAAUUCUCUGAAACAAAUUUCAAUGAUCCCAACCAUCAAAAUUGUUUGUAUAUGCUUCGAGAUUACAUCAGCAAAAAAUCACAAAAAAAAACAUUCAGAGAUCAAGUAACGGGACAAAGCUUUUCGACGGUUAUAAACGAAAAAUCACGAUUUAACGGUUAUUUUAACUCCGAUUUUGAUGAUUUUUUACAGUUACACUCCUUGACCCUAUGUGAAUACAAUGAAUCAAUUCGAUCUUCAAUUUAAAAUAUUUACACAAGUGGAUAUCACAAAAUCUUAUGUUAUACUUAAUGAAAGUAUAAAUAAACUCUUAAGUGUUAGUAAUCUAUUGUUUUGAUGGGAUACGAAUUCUCCGAAACUAAUUUCAACGAUCCCAACCGUCAAACUUGUUUGUAUAUGCUUCGAGAUCACAUCAGCAAAAAAUCACAAAAAACAAACAUUCAGAGAUCAAGUAACGGGACAAAGCUUUUCGACGGUUAUAAACGAAAAUCAUGAUUUAACGGUUAUUUUAACUCCGAUUUUGAUGAUUUUUUACAGCUACACUCCUUGACCCUAUAUUAAUACAAUGAAUCAAUUCGAUCUUCAAUUUAAAAUAUUUACACAAGUGGAUACCACAAAAUCUUAUGUUAUACUUAAUGAAAGUAUAAAUAAACUAUAAGUGUUAGUCAAUCUAUUGUUUUGAUGGGAUACAAAUUCUCCGAAACAAAUUUCAACGAUCCCAACCAUCAAACUUGUUUGCAUAUGCUUCGAGAUCACAUCAACAAAAAAUCACAAAAAACAAACAUUCAGAGAUCAAGUAACGAGACAAAGCUUUUUUACGGUUAUAAACGAAAAAUCACGAUUUAACGGUUAUUUUAACUCCGAUUUGGAUGAUUUUUUACAGCUAUACUCCUUGACCUUAUAUGAAUACAUUGAAUGAACUCAAUCUUCAAUUUAAAAUAUUUGUAAUAGAUUAGUAGUGUAUGAAUUUUCUUUUAUUAGGCUCUUAUUUUCGAGUGUAGAUGUAGUACUUAAACGACAAAUGCGUUUUAACAAUCACAUUAUUUAUUUAUUGUUUUGCAUUUUAAUUAUAACAUGUUUAUAGUUAUUCUGUCAAUUUUUAUUUUCAUACUUAUUACAGAUGAUCGAAUUCUUGAUAAUGAAAUUUUUUAACUAUAACAUGUUUAUAGUUAUUAUGCCAUACCUAACUUGGAUGAUCCAAUUCUUGAUAAUGAAAAUUUCCAUACAAGGGUUGGCGUGGAAGAGACUCUUUUUCUUGAAUCACUACCGUUUCCUACCGAGUUCGUUAAUCAUGCCAAUGCUGACGAAGAGCUAACAGAUGAUGAUAGGGAAUAAAUAUAUUAAUUAUUUUAUAUAUUAAUUAGACGAUGUUUCAAUUCGUGUAUGUAAAUAUCUUAUCAUAAAAUUAUAUUUCUGUUUUUUUUAUUAAGAAUUAUAUAUAAGUUAUAUUUUAUUUAUUAAAAUAUUAUAUAAGAUAAAAUAACUGAUUAUAUUUUAACUUUGGUUUAAAUUUGGGCGGGAAUCUUCCCGGUUUGUUUUGCACGGGGAAAUGGGUUGGACGAGCUCUUGCAGACUGUGUCAGAGUUGGCGUCGGUUUUAACCGACGCAAACUCUCAUUAUUUCAACACAAAGAUUCCUUAUUUCGACGCUACACAAAUCUAUCAAGCUAACGUCGGUUUUAUCCGACGCAACCCUAUCAGUAAAAAAUAUGUCAGACCUUUCAGUCAAAAGCGUGUCAGGCUGCGUGUAGUCAGAACUAGUGUCGGUUUGAACCGACGCAAAGUCAUCAUAUUUCGACGCAAAGUCAUUUUUUAUCAAUUUGUCAGACAUUGCGUCGGUUUUAACCGACGUAAGGUUUUCAUAUUUCAACACAACUUGUAGCUACUGUCGGUAUUAACCGACACUAUGUUUAUCAGUAUUUAAGCCUCGUCUUUCCCAAGACUUGUGCGCGUCCAUCUCUCUUAUAUUUCUCCUCUGGUUUACUCCCUCUCCUUCGCGCUUCCAUCUCUCUUAUAUUUCUCCUCUGGUUUACUCCCUCUCCUUCUCCCAUUUCAGCCUUACUGUUUUCUCCAUUUUAGCCAUACCCCUUCUCCUUCCACUAACUUUUGCUAUGGAUAAUUCUAGUGAAGAUCAAUGUUCUGAGGAACUUCAUUUGGAAGAGGAGGUGUUCGAAGCUGGUUCUUUUUUUACUUAUUAUUAAUUUCAAUUUUUGUUUAGUGUUUAAACUAAUAUUAUUCUUAAAUUGAAAUUUUACAUUUGUUUCCUGUUUUUUAGUUGUUUUUUUUUGUAUUAAUAAGGUAUAUCUCAGCAGAGGUGCGCAGCCACCCUCCUCCUGAAGUGAAUCCUACAGAGUGGGCUGAGUUGGUGGAAUACUGGGAUGGAGAAAAAGCAAAGGUAAUCGUUACAUGUUUAUUUCAUUAUGACUUUAAAUUUGUCUAAUAAAUUUUUGUUUUUGUUCAGGAGGUUGCUGAAAAAAGUAAGAUUAAUCGGCAAUUUAAAACAAUGAACCACUACCGGCACAAGAUCUUUUGCAAGAGUGGCAAAAAUUUGAAUGUAUUGCCCAUUUUGAAGAAUUGUAUCUAAUUUUAAAUAAAUGUGGUGGAUGAGUUUUUGUAAAUUAUAUGGAAUGUUAGAUGUAAAACAUUUGUGUAUUAUGGCACUAUUUUUCUUUUGAAUUAUUUUUAUUAUUGUUUGUUUUGGCCUAUAAUUGAAAUUUAUUAUUUCGAUUAUAUAAUUUUUUUGAGUUAUAAUUAUUUGAGAAUGAAUACAGAAACAGAUUUCGAUUUUUUUUAUAUUAUUAUUAUCAAAGGUGGUGUUGCUUUAAACCGUCAAUAGUUUGCAUAUUUUAUUUAUUUAAUUGUUAUCUAACGACGCUUUAAACCGACGUUAAAAUCAGCGUCGCUUUAAACCGACGCUGCUUAGUGGUGGAUUAAGCGAACAAACCGACACUGAAGCCCUUUAGUGACGGUAGCAAUGGUGUUGCUAUUCUAAUCCGACAUUGCAGUGUUUUAUGUUGGAUUUUUGCCAAAUUUCCGACAGAAAUUGGGUUUCUUGUCGGUUUUGGUCCGCCGGUGAUAGCCUAUAUUGUAGUAGUGCACAAUUUUCUAGUACAAUUAAACAAGAAAACACUUUUAGCAAUAGUUGGUAAGGACCUAUCCCAAAGUAUAAGCGUCCUGGAUCGAGUGACCGACACUAGUAAUGACAUUGGCAAGAAAAUUCGCCUAAUGAAAGGCAUUAGACCAAGAAAUAAAAGAAAAGGAACUGCUCAGAGAUCCGAUGUCAUCAACGAUUGUCCUCAAUCGCCAGGGUGCUCUACACUUGUUCGAAAAUGGAAUUAAUGAUAAGCUUGGAAUCUCCUUCAACACACACCUUCUUAAAACUCUCGACCUUUGCAAAUCUUAAAGCAUCAUGAAGAGCAAGAGGUUCAGCAACAUAAAUUGCACAUUCUCUAGGAUUGUGGGCCCCAACCACAAUAGGUGAACCAUUCGAAUCUCUUAUAUAUAACAAAUUCAACAGCAGUCUGAAAGUCCACCUCAGAGCCAUCAAAAUCAAUUUUGAGUGUAGGAACAUGAGGUGAUCUCCACUUGAUAGUUUGAGAUGACACAAUUAUGAGUAUGAACUGAUCUUAAGUUUUAUUAGCAUGAUAAUACUCUCUACCAACUAUAGCAUCAAGUUUAUGGACCCUAGCAGGUUAAGCCUAGCAAUUAUGGAAAGCAAGGCUAUUUAUAUCAAUCCCCAACAGCAGACCAGUUGGUGGGUGAAAAUGCUAUGGUUUUUUAUACACUAAGUUGAAAACUGAUUAUGAUAACUUAUCUUCAAGAUACAAACAUCAUAAACGAGGCUGUUCAUUCUUUUUAUCAUCAUUAAUUAAAUAUCACACCUGCUAAUUAAAAAUCAUUCAAUUUAGGGAUUAUUAACCCAUACUUGUGUGUCAAACUAAUCGACCAAUUUGGUGGUAACAAAACAACAUUCUCAUAAUUUUUUUAUGUAUAUGAAUGGUUAAAAGAUCUCCAAAUUGAAUGAUCUUUUGCAGAUUGAUCUUUAGGUGACGAUUGUUAAAUAAUAAUUAUUGUUCUAGCCAUUGAACCUAGCCACUUUAUGUAUUCUUUCCCUAGCCAUUGUAUCUAGCCAUUGUAUGUAGUACUUUGUAGUUGCAAUGAAUCUCUAUUCAUACGAAGAGACAUUGUACAUCUAAAUAUUGUACUCUUUACCUACAUGGUUAUUUACCGAGCACAAAAGGUAUUGUUGCCUAGACCGUCCAGAGGCACCCUCAACGCCUUCCAUUUAGUCUUUGCAGCCAGUGGCCGCCCUAGCAGAUCCACAUCCUGCCACAUCAUCCCGUCCCCACCCCACACAUCCUACGGUGACUCGACUUCACGACGGCAGCUCCAAACCAAAAAUUCGAAACGUCCCUGUAUGAUACCUUCUUCUACAUUCGUUACUUGCUAGUAUUGAUUUCAUUGAACCCACUUGUUUCUCAUCAACCUCCAAGCAUCCUGAGUGGUGUGCUGUGAUGUCUGACACGAUUAAGGCACUUUUGAAAAACAAGAAAUGGUCUCUUGUCCCGCCAUCUCCACGUCAUGUUCCAGUUGGUUAUAAAUGGGUUUUCUUAUCAAACGUAGCUUGAUAGUUCGGUUGAGCGCUACAAAGCCCACGUGGUUGCCAAAGAUUUUCAUUAGCGCCUUGGUAUUGAUUAUGUUGAUACAUUCACUCUUGUGGUCAAACCGACCACUAUCCACACCGUUCUUAGUCUUGCUAUUUCCAGAGGGUGGCCAUUUCAUCAGCUUGAUGUAAAUAAUGCAUUUCUUCAUGACUUUCGUCAGAAAGAAAUUCAUACGUUACAGCCCGCUGGAUUUGUUGAUCAACGCAACCAUGUAUGUCACCUCCAUAAAUAACUCUAUGGUCUAAAACAGGCUCAUCGUGCUUGGUUCCAUCGCAUCAAUUCUUUUCUAUAUAUUUUCUUUUGGCUUAAGAAAGAGUCAUGCUGACUUAUCCCUUUUCAUAUUUCGCCAUGGCACUCAAACUAUAUUUCUGUUACUCUAUGUUGAUGAUAUUGUGAUUACAGGCAGUGACACUGUAAUAUUCUCACCCACUUCAUUGAUACUCUUAGCCACUACUUUGACAUUAAGGACUUGAGAUGGCUCAAUUGUUUUUUAGGUCUCCAGGUCACCAUGAUCAUGGAUGCCUCCACAUUAAUCAGCUCAAGUAUGCCUAUGACCUGCUUCAGAAACAUAAUCUGGUCCAUUGUAAGUCAGCUCUACACCUCUUGCAGCUAAAGUACUAAAUAUCGCUGACGGUGCCCUACUUGCAUCUCCAAUUUCCUACCAGGAACUAAUUGGUUAACGACAUCUGCUUUGCAGUUAACACUUUAGCGCAAUACCUUAGUGCCCCUGGCAUCAUUCAUAUGGUGGUUUCCAAACGUCUGUUUUGCUAUAUUAAAAGCACCUUGAAUUUUGGACUAGUGCUUCGUCUUCAGACUUAUGCUGCUAUUCUUUAUGCACACUCUGAUGCCUACUGGGCUGGAUGUCUAGAUACCCACCAGUCUACCAGUGGAUAUUUAAGGUUUUUGGGAUCUAACCUCAUAUCUUAUGGUACUCUAAGAGCAACUUACCAUAUCUCGUUCCAAUGCCGAAAUCAAAUACCGGUCGCUCUUUCAUGCAUGCGCUGAAACUACAUGGUUAUGCUCUCUUCGCGCUGAACUCGGUGUUCGUCUUCGUUUUCCGGUCCUUUUUUAUUGUGACAACCUAAGCGCCACUUACAUGGUUGCUUACCCGGUUUUUCAUGCUCGUAAGAGAAGGUUGCCCUUGGCAGUCACAUAAUAUGCUUUGUUCCUUCUGCUGAUCAAACCGCUGAUUUGCUUGCCAAAGCGCUUCACAAACCACGACAUACUCUUUUAUGCUCCAAACUUGUCCAACCAAGGUCGUCCAAUUUGUGCAAGGGGGAUUGAUGUUAAAUAAUAUUUACUGUUCGUAAUUUUCUAGGCAAUCAACAUAGCCAUUGUAUGUAUUUCUUUGUAGUUUCCAGUGAAUCUCUAUCCAUACGAAGAGUGUACAUCUAGAUAUUGUACUUUUUACGCACAAAUGAAAUCAAGGAAAUCUAAUUCUACAAUAAUAAAGAGAACGGUUCAGAUUAUGAUAUGUGUACGGCGAAGAUACGUUAAUGAACAAUGUGAGGACAAAUAGGUUUCCAUAGGAGGAACACAAGUAUUAUUCUUCUAUAAAUUUGAAUCUAUGCACUUCCAAAUUUUACAUAGAUAUUUGUAGACAUCGAAAUUUCGAGGACCAAUUCAUAUUACACCUUGAAGCUCUGAAGCUCUGAAACUCCGAAGCUCUCAAGCAUCCAGGUUCAAGAAGAAUCAAGAAAGCCUUCUUCGUUCUUCGUUCUUCGUUCAUCGUUCUUCCAAGAUCAAGCCCCGACGGCCCUUGGAUCAACAAUCAUCCACCUUCAAGAUCAAGCCCCGACGGCCCCUUUGAAGAACUUCCACCAAUUCAAGAUCAAGCCCCAAAGGCCCUUGAAGAACUUCCACCAAUUCAAGAUCAAGCCCCGACGGCCCUUGAAGAAAGUGUUCAUCGUUCAUCAUCCGUUCAUCCUAAGAUCAAGCCCCAACGGCCCUUUGGAUCAACAAUGUCGACAAAUCCACACAUCCAACCGUCCUUCAAGAUCAAAGCCCAAAAGCCUUUAAAGGUCCGUUCAUCACCGUUAUUCAAGAUCAAGCCCAAAAGCCCUUGAAGAUCCGUUCAUCAUUGUUCUUCAAGAUCAAGCCCAAAAGCCCCUUGAAGAUUCGUUCAUCACCGUUAUUCAAAUCAAGCCUCAACGACCCUUGAAGAAACGCUCAUCCUCAAGAUCAAGCCCCAACGGCUCCUUGAAGAUCCGCUCAAAUCCACCUUCAAGAUCAAGCCCACGGCCCUUGAAGAACGUUCAUCCUUAGAUCAAGCCCAACGGCCCUUUGGAUCAAUCGCACAUCCACAAAUCAACACCUUACGGAUAUCGAAUCAGAGGAUCAAAUUUGAGAGAGAUUGUAACCCAAAAUCAUCAAAUACAAAUAUUAUUUUGUGCACGUUGUUCUUGUCUCUUUCGUUUCAGGAAUUUUUCGUGUUCACAAUAUUAUUACCAUAGCAUUUAGAUAUUUACUGUAAAAAAAAAUUAUAGUAAACAAAGUAGAGUGUAAGUUUUAUAUGGGAUCUGCAAAUUUUAGGUUCUAAACAUAGGGGUGGAACCAGAAAUUUUAUACGUGGUCAGCUAAUAUUUUGUAAAAAAAAAAAAAAAAAAAAAAAAAAAAAAAAAAACUAAGGCACUACAUAAAUAUCUACGUUGAUGGCUCGUUUGAAAUUGCUUGUAAAAACUUCUGCUCUUAGAAAUUUUUUGUAGAAGUGCUUUCACUAUAUAGCAUGUCGAACUAUAUUUAAAAAUUUAUGUGAUUCUUGAUAAAAACACAUAUAUAGCAGAUGUUUAACUAGAAAGCCCUUAUGUAAAUUGCCAAAACGUAAUUAGAAACACAUUUAGUUUGAAAAAACAUUAUUUUAACCCUACCAAAAAUAAUACCAAACAAAUCCUAAAUUGAAAGACUCGAAGUAUGCAAUUAGCAUAACAUGAACUAGAGAAAUAUUCCGAAUGGUCUAAAAUGUAAAAAAUCUGAAAUGUAUACUUCUAAAAUGUCAAAACCCUAAAAUUAUAUACGGUAAAAAAAGUUGGACCAAGUUGGUUUAGCUAUAGGCUAGGAUAUCAACUUACAUAUAGCAUGCUUAUAUCACCACGGUAGUGUAGCAUACCAAAGAUACAAAACUCGUGGGAAGAAAAACGUGCACACAUUUAUAUUAUCAACACGGAAUACUACUGUAACAAUAUUGUCCUCAUUGGUUAUGUCUAAAUGUCUAAAUACCGUUGUUUACCAAAAAAUAAAAAAAGUCUAAAUACCGUUGAACGUUCUGCAUGGAACAUGAAUAUCGUGCCGGUGCCAAAAAGAAAAAGAAAACGUGAGUAUCAUGUCAAAGGCCCAGCUGUGGUAGAGUGUGCACUACACUACACCCUCCUCCAGGGCGCGUCGGUUAGAACCUAAGGCUUUUGCUUACCAUCUUUUGCCUCUAAUUGUGACGGGAACAUGGGGGCACACCACUUGUUUUUAUGAAAGUUGUGAGAAUUUUAUUUUUUAAGUUAUUAACUUUUUAAUAUAUAUAUCCCAUCAUUUUUAUAAUGUCACCCCAUAUUCUGGUCACACUAAAAAAAUUUCUCCGAAUGUAGAAUUUACGUUAAACACGUCGAUCCAAAUUAAAAGCAUGAAAAUAAAUAAAAAAAAAGAAACACAAAAAGAAAAAAGAAGCAAGAAGAAUAAUAUCUGAUUCAUGCAACUAUGCUAGGGCUUUGGCUCCAGAAAUACAAUGCUUGCCUUCUAUACAUUAGUAUUACGAUUAAAUUUCUAUAUUUGAUAUUUCUUCGGUAACAAUUAUUUUUUUUAUCGAAAAAAAAUUUAUUCAAAGAGAGAAACCACGAGUAUAACUAUUCCCAGCACAAUAAAAGAGAUAAGUAUUUCUAGCAUUAGUGGGUAAACACCUAUUACAAAUAAAAGUAUCCUAAAUGGAGUUGCCAAUGUUAAUAACGAUAUCAACAAGAAAAUUUAUCUUCCGAAAGACCUGAGCCCAAGGUAUCGAACAAAAAGAUUGUUCGAGGAAUAGCCUUCAAGCGACACGACAUUCUGCACUUGUUCAAAAUAUUUUAUCUCAGUUACUUUUUAUUCAUUUCUUUCUUUCUGACUCAAAACAGUAGCAUUUUAUUCAUAGUUGAAUAGCAUAAUAUUCUAAAAGAAUAUUUGGAAAGAUUCCUUUUAAAUUACUAUUUACAUCAAAAACUAAUUUUUAGUAAAUAUAUCUGAUUGUCCAUUAUCGUUUAAGAAGCAAAAUUAAUUAAUAACAUGACUGGCUGAUGUAUGUAACUUAUGAUACUUAUUACGAUAUUAACACAUUACCAUAAGUUUCAUAAUUUAUAGAUAGAAAACGAUAAUAAAUGUAACUUCAAUGUCAAAUAUCUACCCGCAAAAGGAAAUUAAGGAUCGAUAUUGACAUGACAACAAAUGCUGAUAAACUAAAUCUCUAAGCUACCUAGUUGUUGGUUAUUCAUUAAUUUUUAUGACCUAAAUGGAUAUUCCAUAAUCACCCUCACAGCUCAACUAGUCAAAAUAGAAAUUAGGCCCCAAAGUAAAUGAAUAUAACAAAAAUGUUAUGGUACGUUCACAGUUAUUUUCUUUUGAUGAUAUAGAUAUAUAAUUAAUUUUAUUUCCUAAGAAAAUUUCAUGAAAUAUUUUACAAUACCACACAACAAUAAAACCAGUAUCUUUUCCCGCUCACACAAGGUCACAUAUUAAAAAAAAAUUAUGAAAUCUCAAUUUUGUUGUGUUGAGACACAUUUUCCUCAACACUCAAAGGGUCAUUAUGUUUUUUAAGUUAAGAUUCUAUAAUUUUACAAAGUGUAAUAAGGAAAUUAUUCUCGCAACAGCUGUCCUCCUUGUACAUACUACUGUUUAUUCUUAUCUCUUCAUUUUUCUUUGAUUUAUUCAAUUCAUGUACCAUAAAUAAAUAAGAAUGCAUGGAAAAAAAAAGUGGUUGGAAAUCCUUCCCAAAGCUAGAGAGAGAGAGAGAGAGAGAGAGAGAAAAGAGAGAUGAAUUUGGUAAUAACGUAUUCAAUUCAUAUGACUAUUUUACUUCCUAAUAUAAUUUCAUGAAACGUUUCACAAUAUCAAGCAACACUAUAAACAGUACUUUUUCCCACUCUUUCAAGGUCUCAAACUGAACAAUUAUUAUGAAUUCUUGUUUUGCUGCGACAAAUUUUCCUCGACACUAAAAGGGGAUAUCUUUAAAGUCAAAAUUUUUGUGUAAAUUUAAUUACGAGAGAGAGAGAGAGAGAGAGAGAGAGAGAGAGAGUGUGUGUGUGUGUGGUAAAUAAAUAUUGGUGGGGGUUAAAAGUGAGGGUAGAUUUGACAGGAAAUAAGAGGGAGGGUCAUUUUCCAAAGAGAAGGCUUAUAGCUAAAAGAUAGAAUAAAGAAACAUCAAUGACCCUUCUUUCUUCGUCUCUCUCAGCUGUAUUACCUUCUAACGCACGCCUUCCCACUCUUUAACACGUUGUGAUGAGCCAUCUUUAACCCUUCCUCCCUCCCUCCUCCCAUCUCCCUCAAUCCAUAAAUAUAUAAUAUCCCCACAAAACACACAUUUCGCUCCCAACAAAAACACCUCUUAAUAUAUAUUUGUCACACCACCUCCCAACUCCGUUUCUCCACCUCAAAAACCACGAUGGCCACUGGUCUGGACUUCUGCCAAGACCUCCCGAAUCCAAGACUCCCCACCAUCAAUAUCUCAGCCCCACAUCCACGACCGCAACCAUCGGCAUCCCAUAGCGACAGUGACGUUGUCUCUGAGUGCGCCGAGACAAAGUCCCCACGAUUCUUAAACGUUCCCGCGAUUCUUACAUGUCCGCCUGCGCCGAGAAAGCCUCCCAGAAGGGUGGUUUCCUCAUGCAAGAGGAAACUCCAGUUCUUCGAGAUCACAAACCGUGAAGAGGUCGAAGAUAUGUUCAGAUCGAGCUUUUUGAUCAACUCACAAGCCAAAAGGAGCUGCCCAUGUACAUAAAUCAAAACUGCUUCAUGGAUCGGUGCCAAUUCAAUUCAACGGACUACUGUUAUUACACGUUUCUUCCUUUGUCUUAUUUUUUUCACGAUUUUUGGUUUCUGGGUUAUAUAUAUGGGAUUUGUACGGUCCAAAACGUGGCAAUCACGUCCAUAUAAUUUGUAUUACACGGUCAUGGAUAGAUUGGACAACAUUGAAUAUCCAGGUUAUAUAUGUGUUUGUUUGGGGGGGGGGGGGUGCUGGUGGUACUUGGAUGAGUUUUUCAGACAGUUGGAUCUGAAUUUAUAUUUGUAUUCCUUCAUCAUCUGUGAGUGUGAGUAAUGUAAUUCAAUUCCUUCACAACUAAUCAAUCGAUAAAUUUUGGAUGUACAUCUUUUGUUUAAUAAUGUUCAAUCAAUCAUAUGAAUUACUGUUCCUCAACAACUAGCUAAUUGGUAUUCUUUGGAUUCUUAUAAUUUAGAUUCUUUCAUUGGUAAUUUGACUUUGCUUAUUCAUUUGGGUUGAUUUUCUUCUCCGUAUGUGUGUAAUGAAAAUAGUGGUUGAUACACAGCUGUGAUGUUUGCACUCUUUUUUCUCCUUGCGCAUCGCUGUUUAUUUCUGAAUUAAAUUGAAUAUUCAACAUGUGUAAUCAGAAGCAUGAUCAACGUUAACGAGGAAUGAGAGGAGAGAGAGAGACAUGGAUGAGGGUUUGGUGUGAAUAUUGCUUGUUCAUGUGGUUUGGAAGGAAGAGGAUAAUUAAGUUAGGAGUAAGGUAGCUUUUGGUGGGUUUAUUUCUGGAAUAAUUUAAAGGGUGUUGAUUAAGAUGGUUGAUCUGUCCAGUGUUUGACAUUUUACGUUGAGUGAUUGACGCGGCUUUGGGAUCCAUAAACUCUGAUUAAUUAGAUUUAGGUGUUUCUGUGAGACGACUGUGCGUGCGUGUGAAACCAGAGAGAGAGAGAGAGAGAGAGAGUGUGAGGGGAGAAUUAUGCAUAAUAUGGGAUGUCAUAAACAAUACUAGAAUUCAAUGUGUUUGUGUCUUAUCUGUUUUGACGACUCUAGAAAUAUACAUAUGAUAUACAACUUUUUCUCGACAAGAUAAUAACGGCACACAUGAUAUGAUCUUUUUUACUUUAUGAGUAGUUUGGUUAAGUAGCUUUAUAGGGUACAUGAUAUUUUUAUUUUUUAUUUUAACGGUUAAAUUUUUUUGAAUAUUUCAUACUAUGAAGCAUCUUAAAAAAAUUUCUUCUUUACUUUCGUUUCACUAAAUUAAUUUAUUUUUAUUAAAUUAAUAACACACAGUGAUAAUUGUAUUUUGUCAACUCAACGGUUAUGAUUUAUGAAUUUAUUUAAUAUCGAUUUUAAUUUCUCCAAGAAUUGGUUUUAAGUAGUUUUUGUUUUUCGUGGACUGAUUAAUUUUAAUUAUUUGUUCAUUGGAUUCUAUCUUGAGAAACCCUCAACCUAAGAUUGUAUCUCAUCAUGUACCUUAACAAUAUAUACAAUAAAAAAUGAAAACCCUUCCGGCUUCAAACAGGCCAGUAUUAAUUGUCCUAUCGUUGUGAGCAGUACGCAAAUUUGUUUGUGUCGCAUUAGCCGGAGAUGUAGUCUUGCCUUUUAG
rnacentral:lncRNA from 1 species